rnacentral:rRNA from 1 species
UACGGAGGAUCCAAGCGUUAUCCGGAAUCAUUGGGUUUAAAGGGUCCGUAGGCGGUUUAAUAAGUCAGUGGUGAAAGCCCAUCGCUCAACGGUGGAACGGCCAUUGAUACUGUUAGACUUGAAUUAUUAGGAAGUAACUAGAAUAUGUAGUGUAGCGGUGAAAUGCUUAGAGAUUUACAAUGGAAUACCAAUUGCGAAGGCAGGUUACUACUAAUGGAUUUGACGCUGAUGGACGAAAAGCGUGGGUAGCGAACAGG